AUUGAACGCUGGCGGCAGGCUUAACACAUGCAAGUCGAACGAUGAUUAUCUAGCUUGCUAGAGAUGAUUAGUGGCGGACGGGUGAGUAACAUUUAGGAAUCUGCCUAGUAGUGGGGGAUAGCUCGGGGAAACUCGAAUUAAUACCGCAUACGACCUACGGGUGAAAGGGGGCGCAAGCUCUUGCUAUUAGAUGAGCCUAAAUCAGAUUAGCUAGUUGGUGGGGUAAAGGCCCACCAAGGCGACGAUCUGUAACUGGUCUGAGAGGAUGAUCAGUCACACCGGAACUGCGACACGGUCCGGACGCCUACGGGAGGCAGCAGUGGGGAAUAUUGGACAAUGGGGGCAACCCUGAUCCAGCCAUGCCGCGUGUGUGAAGAAGGCCUUUUGGUUGUAAAGCACUUUAAGCAGGGAGGAGAGGCUAAUGGUUAAUACCCAUUAGAUUAGACGUUACCUGCAGAAUAAGCACCGGCUAACUCUGUGCCAGCCGCCGCAGUAAAAC
rnacentral:rRNA from 1 species